AGUAAUGUCUGGGAAACUGCCUGAUGGAGGGGGAUAACUGCUGGAAACGGUAGCUAAUACCGCAUAACGUCGCAAGACCAAAGUGGGGGACCUUCGGGCCUCAUGCCAUCAGAUGUGCCCAGAUGGGAUUAGUUAGUAGGUGGGGUAACGGCUCACCUAGGCGACGAUCCCUAGCUGGUCUGAGAGGAUGACCAGCCACACUGGAACUGAGACACGGUCCAG
rnacentral:rRNA from 1 species